rnacentral:rRNA from 1 species
UAGGGAAUCUUCCACAAUGGGCGAAAGCCUGAUGGAGCAACGCCGCGUGUGUGAUGAAGGCUUUCGGGUCGUAAAGCACUGUUGUAUGGGAAGAACAGCUAGAAUAGGAAAUGGUUUUAGUUUGACGGUACCAUACCAGAAAGGGACGGCUAAAUACGUGCCAG